AACGCACAUUGCGCCCUGUGGUAUUCCGCAGGGCAUGCCUGUUCGAGCGUCAUUUCAACCCUCAAGCUCUGCUUGGUGUUGGGCCAUGCCCUCGCGGCCGGCCCCAAAGCCAGUGGCGGUGCCGUCCGGCUCUAAGCGUAGUACAUCUCUCGCUCUAGGGUCCGGCGGUUGCCGGCCAGAACACAAACUCUUAUGGUUGACCUCGGAUCAGGUAGGGAUACCCGCUGAACUUAA
rnacentral:misc_RNA from 1 species